rnacentral:rRNA from 1 species
UACGUAGGGGCUAGCGUUGUCCGGAAUCAUUGGGCGUAAAGAGCGUGUAGGCGGUCCGGUAAGUCCGCUGUGAAAGUCGGGGGCUCAACCCUCGAAUGCCGGUGGAUACUGUCGGGCUAGAGUGCGGAAGAGGCGAGUGGAAUUCCUGGUGUAGCGGUGAAAUGCGCAGAUAUCAGGAGGAACACCAAUGGCGAAGGCAGCACUCUGGGACGUGACUGACGCUGAGACGCGAAAGCGUGGGGAGCAAACAGG